UGGGGGAUAUUGCACAAUGGGGGAAACCCUGAUGCAGCGACGCCGCGUGAGUGAAGAAGUAUCUCGGUAUGUAAAGCUCUAUCAGCAGGGACGAAAAUGACGGUACCUGAGUAAGAAGCCCCGGCUAACUACGUGCCAGCAGCCGCGGUAAUACGUAGGGGGCAAGCGUUAUCCGGAUUUACUGGGUGUAAAGGGAGCGUAGACGGUCAUGCAAGUCUGGAGUGAAAGGCGGGGGCCCAACCCCCGGACUGCUCUGGAAACUGUAAGACUAGAGUACAGGAGGGGUAAGCGGAAUUCCUAGUGUAGCGGUGAAAUGCGUAGAUAUUAGGAGGAACACCAGUGGCGAAGGCGGCUUACUGGACUGAAACUGACGUUGAGGCUCGAAAGCGUGGGGAGCAAACAGG
rnacentral:rRNA from 1 species